AUUGAACGCUGGCGGCAGGCCUAACACAUGCAAGUCGAGCGGGGACUUCGGUCCUAGCGGCGAACGGGUGAGUAAUGCUUGGGAAUCUGCCCAGUAGUGGGGGAUAACGUCCCGAAAGGGACGCUAAUACCGCAUACGUCCUACGGGAGAAAGAGGGGGAUCUUCGGACCUCUCGCUAUUGGAUGAGCCCAAGUCGGAUUAGCUAGUUGGUAGGGUAAUGGCCUACCAAGGCGACGAUCCGUAGCUGGUCUGAGAGGAUGAUCAGCCACACUGGAACUGAGACACGGUCCAGACUCCGACGGGAGGCAGCAGUGGGGAAUAUUGGACAAUGGGCGAAAGCCUGAUCCAGCCAUGCCGCGUGUGUGAAGAAGGCCUUCGGGUUGUAAAGCACUUUAAGCGGGGAGGAAGGUUAGCGGCCUAAUACGUCGCGGAAUUGACGUUACCCGCAGAAUAAGCACCGGCUAACUCUGUG
rnacentral:rRNA from 1 species